CGAGAUGAUCACUGUGGUCCUUUUCAACCCAGGCCAUUCUAUGAUUCUACGACUUUCACAGCCCCUGCCAGAAGCACACAGCCUGCCUGUGCCCAGGACGGGAGCAGCUGUGCAAUGGCUCAGACAUCCUUGCUGGGGCAUCCAAAGGAGCCCCUCUCUCGGUGUUCGGUGGUGUUUCUGGGAAUUUCAGCCUUGGGCUGGGGGCAAACCCAUGGGGUCUGUCCCUCCUGGGCACACCCUGUGAGGUCAUAGAAGGCGUCACUUGGCCUUUGCAGCUGUCACCUAUUAUGACAUCAGAACCCGCGGUCCUACUCAGCCACGCUGCCGAGGUGUGCAGCACUGCAGUCCCGCGAGGAUCGCAGAGCAGGCAACGCGCUGCCGAAGAGAGGGGAAGGAGGACUCCUGUCCUGCUUCUAGCAGUCCUUUCUGGUGAGUGUUCCCCACCCAAGGCCAUCCAAGCAGAGCCGGGGAGCGGGACUGUCCCACACGGCGCUUCCCCGCUGGCUCUGGAGGAGGAAGAUAGGGCUGCGGGGCUCAGAGCAGCCUGAACAAACUAACGGUCUCUCCCAACUGAUGUCCCCCACAGCUGGAGCCUUCCUCUGGAUAAUGGCAACUUGGAAAACCAAUGUCCUGCAGGUCAGUGCCGUGGUAUGCGGAAGAGGCCAAAGCUCUGCCCUUCUGCCUCCACGGGGACGGGGGAGUUUGGCCAUGGGCUCAUCACUGCUGAGACCCAGGGUGGGCCCUUGAACCGGGCUGGGGGUCGCCUUGGCAGCAAGGUGGGCUUCAGCGUGGAAGCAUCUUCCCAGUGUCCACCAUGGAGCUCAGGCUGAAGGCAGCAGCGCAUGGGAAGAAGGGGCCUUUGGCCCAUCCGUGGCACUGCGGAGUCUAAAGGGGAUGGGAAAGGAAAGGGAGAAGCAGCAGAUGCUCUGCAGCACGUGGAGGGCCUAAGAGCACAACUUUGGGCAGCGGUCCUAUACAAACUGCUGGGAAGCAGCAGGAAAUCCUGCCAGCGGUUCCCUGGGAAGCUCCUUUGGAAGCCCUGGCCGUGCUCCGUGUGCUUCCUCCCACUGAAUGCCUUUCUCUUCCAGGUGUCAGCAGGACCUGUGCAUGAGCUCCCGUGUCUGGGGUAAGAACACUUCCCUGCCACGCACCUGCCUCUGUAGCGUGGCCUCAGCUGGCUGUGCACUCUUUGCACGCUUUUGCCUCGUGCCCAGGGCUCCAGCCUUUCCCAUCUGUGCAGUGGAAGGCAGCCCUUGGCAAAGC
ensembl:lncRNA